CGGCAGCGAGGGAAAUGGGGACAAUUUUGUAACUACAUUUUCACACUUUUUCAAUUUGAAUUUGUGACACCCUUUCAGUUCCGACUUGGUUCUUCGUGGGUGUGGCCAUUUCGUUUGCUCUGCUUUAAUCGCUUUGCACUUUUUAGGUGCAAAGUUCAGGUACGAGAGUUAUCUCGACGAUGGAUGGGAACAAGGAAAACGGCGAUCGUUGACGCGCGUUGAAGUUCGUGACGAAGGCGAUCCCCGUCGACGAUCUACUGAAAGAUAGAACAUCUUCAGCGCCCUAGUGGAGCUGUACUCAUUUCACUUCAAGUUGAAGAGAGAAUACUUUGAUCCAAUUCUUGAGAGUUGACAAAUACACCUUUCUGGCUCGUAUUUACAUCUCUCACUGGUUUCUUGACCUGUACGCUAACAAUCGUGAUGCUUGUAUGAGAAUUCCUCUUGCCGGAUCACUCGAUUAUUACCAAAACAAGAUUGCUCAUCAGUCUACCACUUAUGACAAUUAUCUGCGUGAUUUGGAAGCAUUCAUAAUGUGCGGGGUCGUGUUUGCUUGGUGCUGGGUCGACACUCAUAUAACUUGUUCUCAUUAGAGCUGAGCAGCGGUCAAGGUUGGGCCAGAUUUGGGCCGACAAGCUAGUCAAACAUGAUUUGAAUUUAACACAUAAAAGGGGGCUUCUCCCUGCACCUCCAAUAAUUUCUCCUGUACUCCCAAAACCUACUUUAAUUCCAUCUUUGCCCAUGGUUAAAAACUGAGUUAAUGUUUUUUACCGCAGUGCACCCCCAAAAUUUCGUGCCUCACCGUACUGCACCCCCAAAAGCAGAUUCUCUGCACCCCUGCACAUGGAAUCUCUUUGACCUUUAUUUUAUGCACUCUAUGCACUCUCUCCGCAGCACUCUCUGCACCCCCUCCACACACUCUUCAUCCCCUUCUCCCCUUCUCCCUCUUUCUCCCUUUUCUCCCACACAGCAACACCCACCUUCUCCCUCUUCUCCCUCUUCUCCCUCUUCUCCCACACAACAACACUCACGCCAUCCUUUUCUCUUCUCCACACACCAUUGUUCUCCCCAGCGUCGUCGGCAAGCGCGUUUCUUCUCUUCUCGUCGGUUCUCCAUUUUUCACGGAUGCCUCUUCUACUAGCUCCUCCUCUGUAUUGCUUAAGACGUCCUCCACAUGCAUCGUCGAACAAAUCUGAUGGCCACAACCACUACGAGCAGAUUUAUAGGAAUCCUUUAUUGGUACCUCUUCCGUGCCGCGUGCGUCGUUGAAUAGAUCCAAUGGCCACAACCAUCGUGAACAUGUAAUAGAUCCACCAUAGUCAUAGUAGAUCGAGUAGUUAUUGUUGUCGACGCUCUCCUCCACUGCUCGCUUGUUGUCUCAUUUACCCUUCCAUCUUUGAGGUUUUCAAACACAACAUUGAAGAGGUUGAUCUGAGGAACAACGACUCUAUGGACGUAAAGUGUAUGGCAUAUUUGGGAGCCUUUCUUCACUUGCACUACUUGAACCUCGCGCACCCUAACCUAGGCCAGUUGACGCAGAGGUGGGGCGAUGGUCUUGGCUAGUGUUAUUUUGUCUCGUGUGGAAGAAGAAAAUCAAAUAAGAAGGGAAUCAAUGCCUCUGCUGAAGUUAUAGUGUUGUGCGAUGAAAAGGAUGGAUGAAAAGACCUAUGCACAUUGAAGAAUAUCAAAUGAGACAAGUAUUUGUAAAUUUUAAUUUAACUUCUGAGUCUGACCAUCAAAAUUCGUCUGU